rnacentral:misc_RNA from 1 species
AUCUCUCUCUCUGUGUCUGCCUGCCCGCCAGCAAGCGUUGCCAGACGCAAAGAGGAACGUGCGCUUGUUCUGAUGUGUCCUUGUCCCUUCAAGGAGCGUGGAAAGGUGUUCGCUAGAGUCCGCAGAGAGAAAGGUGACGAUGUUGAUCUCAUGAGAGGAAAGGGGCGCGAGGCUCCGUUGUGCGGUCCCCACACGCACGCACGCACAACGCGCCGUCUUCUUUUUGGUCCAUCUUUUUUGUUGUUGUGUAAGGGUGGUUGUCGUGCCCCGCUGUUGUUUCUCUUCGAUCCAGUAUAUCUGUCGGUGGUGGCUGAAUGUACUUAUAGGACCGGCCGACUGGUUGUGAAGCUGCUGCCCCCCUCCCUCCCUCCCUCCCUUCUCUCAUGCACUGUGGCUUUCAGAAAUUCGUUAUCGCCCCAACGCCGCCUCCCCCUUCCCGGUUUUGCUUCACACUGACUCUGCAGAGACGAGUAUAACUUUGGCUAACCUUUAAGCAGCGGCGGAGGGGAAGAGCGGCCACAACGCGGCGUGCGUUGGAGGUGAUGGCUGGGCGUGUAGAGGGCUGUGCCGUUAAAAAGAAGGCUGCGGUGAUGUACUUGCUGUGUUGGUCCGUUCGAUGGUUGUGUGUCUCUUGUUUUCUAUGUUCGUCGUUGCCCAGCCCCGGGUCAGGUGUUGCUCACUACACGCGCAAAAGAAAAUGAUUGAAUGACGCAAUGCAAGCGUCGCACGCAGCUCCACAACACGCAUCCCCCUCCCUCCCCGCCUAUCCCCUAAUCUACGUCCACAUAUGUGCGUCGACGCGUACACAGAGGAGGGGAGGGGGGGGGGGGGGCAGAGAGCCACUGAUGUGAGGACCUGGCGUAGCAGUGGUGCCCACAGCUUGGGAGUGGGAGGGUAGGCGAGGAACGAGAGUAGCCGCUAACGGAGCGAAGUGGCAGUUUUUCGACAGCCCGUCAAUAGUGCCGACUUCGCUUAAUGCAGCGGCUGUCCCCUCCCGUUUGCAUCCCUCGUCACGUCUCCCACAACACCUUCUCCUGCCCCUGCACGCAUCGCCGGCCUUGCUGCCUCAUGCUCAUCUUCGCCAUGAUGGCCCGCCCACGCCCCAUUUCUACCUUUCCACCCGGUUGGCAG